rnacentral:rRNA from 1 species
UACGUAGGGGGCAAGCGUUGUCCGGAUUUAUUGGGCGUAAAGAGCGUGUAGGCGGUCAGGUAGGUCCGUUGUGAAAACUCGAGGCUCAACCUCGAGACGCCGAUGGAAACCAUCUGACUAGAGUCCGGAAGAGGAGAGUGGAAUUCCAGGUGUAGCGGUGAAAUGCGUAGAUAUCUGGAGGAACACCGGUGGCGAAGGCGGCAUCCUGGACCGGUAUUGACGCUGAGGCGCGAAAGCUAGGGGAGCAAACGGG